CCGGAAUUUCAGACGGCGAGAACUUCGCCGUCCGACCUCCGUUUGAGGUGCCGUUUCUUGCAAAAGCUUCCUCUCUUCCUCCUCUACCCAGCCCACCCCUUUUCUCCGAUCGAAAACCCGGCAAACGGCGGUGGCGACGACGUGAAAAUCGGCUGAAACUGCCGACGUCGCCGGCGACGUUUCCGGCCAUCUCGAGCUGCGCCGUCGCUUGGAACAGGUACUCCGACCACGCAUACGCAGCAGGCGGGACCCUCUCAGGGUCAAGCAGCGUGGGACUACUUCCAGUAGUUGACUGAGCU